rnacentral:rRNA from 1 species
CCUACGGGUGGCUGCAGUGAGGAAUAUUGGUCAAUGGGCGGGAGCCUGAACCAGCCAAGUCGCGUGAAGGAAGAAGGUACUUCGUAUUGUAAACUUCUUUUGUCGGGGAACAAAGUCCGAGACGCGUCUCCGGCUGAGUGUACCCGAAGAAACAGCAUCGGCUAACUCCGUGCCAGCAGCCGCGGUAAUCCGGAGGAUGCGAGCGUUAUCCGGAUUUAUGGGGUUUAAAGGGUGCGCAGGCGGGAGAUGAAGUCAGCGGUAAAAUGUCGGGGCUCAACCCCGGCCGGCCGUUGAAACUGGGUGUCUAGAGUUGGGGAGAAGUAUGCGGAAUUCGUGGUGUAGCGGUGAAAUGCAUAGAUAUCACGAAGAACUCCGAUUGCGAAGGCAGCAUACCGGAUCGAGACUGACGCUGAGGCACGAAAGCGUGGGGAUCGAACAGGAUUAGAUACCCCAGUAGUC